GGCUCAAUCUGCUGCCGUGACCUUCGACUGUAGGCAAUGAAAACCAUAAAGUGUUCUUAAAGUUUAGAUAGGCUUUUAAAGACAUACGGCCUUCAAGCCAUCCUGAAAUGAAAGCGUUUGACUCAAAGGUCUCGUAAUGGUAAAGUUGACCUUGUGACUCAAGGGGGACCUCUGUAUAAUCGUCUCCUGGGAUCUCUUCAUACAUUCCUGCUUCCUCACUGACCCCGACAGUAGAACCGGCAGCUUUAUGAAGGUGCUCGACUAGCCUCAGCAGCAACAUCCUGAGCUGCUGCUGUGGAGAAGGCAGUGAGUGAGGAAGACCAUCUCUGUCCUCUGAACCUUGCACUAGGAUGCAAAGAUGUACUGAAUUGCCCACACCUAAAGACUGUUGUGAGAGACAUGCUGGGCUGGACACACUCAGGAUGCUUCAUACAUGCAGAGGUGCCUGAACGCCGGGGUGGAGACGCCUUCUUCAGUGGUUCACAUGGGUCUCCGUAA